rnacentral:rRNA from 1 species
GAUGAACGCUGGCGGCGUGCCUAAUACAUGCAAGUCGAGCGAAUGGAUUAAGAGCUUGCUCUUAUGAAGUUAGCGGCGGACGGGUGAGUAACACGUGGGUAACCUGCCCAUAAGACUGGGAUAACUCCGGGAAACCGGGGCUAAUACCGGAUAACAUUUUGAACCGCAUGGUUCGAAAUUGAAAGGCGGAUUCGUCUGUCACUGAGGGAUGGACCCGCGUCGCAUUAGCUAGUUGGUGAGGUAACGGCUCACCAAGGCAACGAUGCGUAGCCGACCUGAAAGUGUGAUCUGCCACACUGGGACUGAGACACGGCCCAGACUCCUACGGGAGGCAGCAGUAGGGAAUCUUCCGCAAUGGACGAAAGUCUGACGGAGCAACGCCGCGUGAGUGAUGAAGGCUUUCGGGUCGUAAAACUCUGCUGUUAGGGAAGAACAAGUGCUAGUUGAAUAAGCUGGCACCUUGACGGUACCUAACCAGAAAGCCACGGCUAACUACGUGCCAGCCGCCGCGGUAA